CUACUGUUAUUCUCUUAUUAUUUUGUUAUGAAAUUUUACUUUUUUCCAUAAAAUAAAAAGUUAAAUUUUUUUUAAAGGUUAGGGCUAAGUUUGCCUUCCAGAGCCAAAUAUAUUAAAGAUGAGUUGCUUCUAAACAGCAGGGAUGGUACCUGAUUGUAAAAGUCAAUGGAAGGCCACUUCAUCAGACGGGAACCCAAGGAAGGCUCUCAGGUGCACAGAAUGGGAUGUGUCAGGGUGACACUUCCCAACUGUCCUUGAUCCCAGGAACCAGCAAGAGCGCUUGUUAAUAAUGCAGAGUCCUCCGUCAUCCCAGGUUGAUAAACUCAAACCUUCAGGGAAAGGCUUAGAAAUUUGUGCCGUUUAUGAGUCUCAUGAAAAGUAAAUGGGUAACUGUUGAGGACCACACAGGAGCACCAGGGACUUUGCUCUUGUCCAGCUGGCAGAAACACCUGCCAGAGGGCAACCACAGCAAAGGCCUUAGAGACCCCAGCAGCUGACUGCCCGUGGUGCUGAGCCCGCGCCACAUGGGUGGGGUUUGUCCACUUCCCCACCCCAUGCCACCCCCGCACAUCUCAGCAACACUUCUGUCUAGGAGUAGUUACAAAAUUGGACAGUGACACCUCUAUAUGCAGUUCUCACAGCUUAGCACCUUCAGUAAAACUUGAGAUCUUCUGCUUCCCAAAUUCUAUCUGAAAAUAAACUAGUAAGCUAGGCAUGGUUAGUGUAUUCCUAUAAUCCCAGAACUUUGAAAGUUUGAGGCAAGAAGAUCAUGAGUUCAAGCCCAACCCAACCAACUUAGUAAUUUAGCGAGAUCCUGCCUCAAAAUUUAAAAAAUAAAGGCUGAGUGUAGCUCAGUGAGAGGCCCUGGGUUCAUUCCCAGUUAUCCACCCCUCCAAUGGUUCACAUCCCAUCUUUUGGCCCAGGAAAGGCUUAGCCCAGGGAAGUGGGUGAGUCCUAAAACAAUCAGCCUAGGUUCAUCUGUUUAUCUCUCUGUGUUGAUGAUGGUCACAGUAACCGACAAUCCUGCAAAGACUGAGUGGAUGGAGGGCGAGGGGUUCACCCAGGGAUCAUGGGCAAUCCAGUAACCUCUCUUAUGAGUCAUAAUGCCCCUUUGCCCUUCUAGUAAGUUGUCUAGAAGUCUAAGCAGUUACCUAGGGUCCACCAUCCGCCUACCUCCUCCUCUUCCUCCUCCUCUUCCUCCUCUCUGUUUUUAAUCAGCCAGUAACUCUGUAGCUCAGUAGUGGUAAACUAUGGCAGUGGGCUGUUUGUCCUCUUUGAAAGCUUUGAAAGCUUCACCAUCACUGCCAUAGCUGAGUCCCUAGAAUGCUGGUUCCUUAAGUUUCAGAAAAUUAUGUCUGUGUAAGAAGUAUUUUAUUACACUACAUAGAAAUAUAUUGCACCCAAAAUUUAACCACAAAUUUCAGCCCCCAGGAGCCGCAAGCACACACGCACACACACACACACACACACACACACACACACUCAUGCUCACAUACACAAUGGAACCGAGCCAUGGUGAUGGCGGAGGGCUUCUGAGUGCACAGAGAUUGUUUUCAGGUGCAAAGGGUCAGAAUACACACAUUGAUUCAAGCCAUUCUUAUGUCAAAAAGAACGUUGACAAAUCAUUACUUCUAUAAGCUGAAAAAAAACACUAAUAACUCAAGGUAGAAUCAGAGUGAGUUUAAAGUGAACAUGAGGAAUUGAGGGUACACACUCAGCAUAUAAAACCCCAGAAAACACCACCUGGGAGCACAGGAAUCAUCUAUCUUAUCUGGAAGCCUGUCUCCGGAGUGGCACAUUUGGGGAUUGGUUUGAGGACGGAGUGUGCGCUCUGGGAACAGAGCUGAAAGGUAGGGGUGCGGCUGGGGGCCAUCACUGAUAAACACUGUGUGCACUCGGAUUGCCUACCACCGAGGCUUAAAGAUUGAUGAUUGUGAGGACUUCGCCUUUGGCUUUGCUUUGAACCUGGAGUUUCUGAGUACUUACCUUGAACCCCAUGGCCCUCCAGCUCUCUUAUCAUUCCCCCAAUUACAGAUGAGGAAACUGAGGCACAGGAAGUUUUAAUGGCUUCAGAUUGAUAUUGGUUUUAGAUUUUAUUUUUCCAACAAGAGCUCCUGGACAUUUUAAAGCCACUGUAACUGUGUUUCCCAGUCAGGAGCCAGAAACAGAAUCAACCGGGAACUUCGAGCCUGCCCAUCUCAAAUCCCUUUUCAAUUGACAGAGAGUUCAGUGGAGCUUGGCUAAUAAGCAGAAACAAACAAGGUUCAGUUUACCCAGAAUAAUAUAUAGCAUCUAUAGUAAGUUGUAGGCUAGGUUCUUCCCAGAGCAAGAGAAUAUGCAGUCAUAGUUUGGGCAGUCUUGUUUCUUCUGGACUGUGCUUUCUGCAUCUUUCAGGCCUUUCCUUAUCUACCCCGUGAGCAGCUGAGAUGAGAUACAUCAUAUACCCCCAAAACCCCACACUGGAAAGGUUAAUGCUUCCCCAGUGCCCAGCUGGGGUCAAAACCCCCUUAUCAGGAGACAAGAUAUCUAUAUAAUUCUUCUCUAUGCAAGCAGUAAAGCCCUGUGGAUGUUUUAAAAUGAAGUACAUGAAAUUUUAAAACCUGUUAAUAAAGUUUCUCUACUCUGAUGGAAUUAAAAAAUCAGCCAUAGAUAAAUGUUAAAGAUUUCCUUACUGCUAAUAAUGCUUCCCCCUCAUCCCUCUUUUUUCCCUCCUCCAACUCUUCCAACAUGAAUUUAUUUUCUAUUUGAAAGCCAAUCUCACUGGUUAUUAGAUAUUCUCCCUGCUGUCACUAUCAGUAAAUUAUUAAACAGCUGACCAAGCUUUGUUUUAAAAUGAUUCUCUUAUGAAGCUGGUGAUAUAUUUGCUAUGAAUACCGAAUGGUGCCGCGGUCUCUGAGGACACGUGAAUGAUUCCUAUUUACUACCUUUAGCAAAAUGUGUGUGCAAUUAGCAGCAAGCACUCGACUUGAAUCACAGGCAGUGAGAUGCGUGUAGCUCAUUUACAUGGGGCUCUCUCCCCUCACUAUACAUGCACUCCCUGCUAGAAGAACUACGUUCAGCUUCCAGACUGUGUCACCAAGUAGCCGGUGCUCUUACCUUUCAUCAUUCCUCACCUAUCUUGUCCCACCUCAGACUUGGACAUGCUUGUGGUAAUCCCUUCCUUACUUAAUGAAGCAGCUGAUUUGUAGUGAAUUUCUAUUCAAAGAAAAUCAGCCUGAUUGGGAUAAACUUACUGAACUUGUCUAUAUUUCUACUGCCUCACCUGUAAAAUAGAGGUCCUAUGUCCUAACUCCUGGAUUCUGUAAUAAAAACAAGUGCCAAGCACAGUGCCUGACAUCCAAUAAGCCCUCAGGAACUGCUGGCUACUAUUUCCCAGCCAUUACUGCUUUAGUCCAGAUUCUCUGGUUGUAAGCAACAGAGAUUCUUUUUAAACUCAUUCUAGCCAAAGAUGAAAUGUGUGGAUUUACAUAUUCAAACAGUUGUUGGUCAGUUGAGAUCUGACCUAGGAAUUGGUUUUGGUUAUUUGGAUUCUCUGUUGUGUGCCACUUGAUGAGGAAGUUGAGAGACAAGCAAGAGAUGGGAAGGUAACUCAGAAAUUGGUCAGGCAAACAACCGCUUCCAACCCUGACUGUGAAGGACAAGGAGAGGUUAAUACCCGGAAAGUGGCACCAUCACAGGUGCGCCCAAGGGAAGCUAAAGCUCCCUUUGAUGCUAAGGAAGUCACCCCAAGCAAUAGGAAAGGGCAAUUCCUUGCUUCUCCUUUUCCCGUGCCUCCCACUCCCAGCACGCAGUCAUUGUUUAUCAUUGGCCAAACUCCUGCAAUCAGAUAAGCAGGAGGCCAGGGAGAGGCCACAACAGGAUUCUGUUCCUCUGAACAGAGCCAAGCAAGAAAAGGCAAGUAUGGGUGAUGGGAAACAGGCUCUGGACUGUGCAAAAGAAAAGGAUAGUUGCAUGGCCAGCCUCAGAAACUGGUCACCCUCAGAAGGGCUCUGCUUCCAUUGCCCUUCACUCCACGUAUCAGCUCUGUUUAUCCAGCUUUGCUUACCAAGGAACAUAGAGAACAUAGAGAUUUUCUAAUAUCCUCCCAACUCCAGAUUCAAGGAAGACAGGGCUUUCUUUCCUUUCCCAGCUCCCACUUAAAGAAUCCCCACUGGUCACAUGUCUCUCCCUUGAACUAAUGACAAUGGUUGAAUGAUGAGAUGCUAUGAUUUGGCCAGUUUGAGUCAUGUGCUCAUCAUCCCUGGGCCAAAGAGACCAAAUUUAUUCUGAGAAUCAGGGGAGACGGUGGAGAAAAAACCAGAGUAUCCCCAAAUCAGCCAAGGACUAUUCUCCCAGUGGACUAGACUGGGAAAUUUAGAGUAUGGUGAUCAUCAGUUGUAUUCAUUAUUUCCAAUCCUCCUUCCCAAGACUUGGUAGGAUGACACUUCUGGAUCACCUUGAAAUUAGGUGUGACCGGGUGAGUUGCUUUGGCCAACAAAACAAGAGCAAGAGUGAUUCAUGUUGCUUCCAGGCGAAAACUUUGCAACAGCAAAUAACAGGGUAUUUCCUUUUUCUUUAUGAGGAAUUCAUGGAAUAGAGCUUCUUGCCAGUUCUUAAGGGCCAUGCUGUACAAGCCAAUAAGCAAAUGUUUGUGUUUUAGGUCACACCAAUUUGGUGACUUGGUAGUUUGUUGGUUUGUUUGUUUCUCUGGUGGUGGUAGUGGUUAUAGUAGUAGAAUCUGGACCACUCUGGCUGAUUCGUUCAAUAAGAAAAGCAUUCAAAACAGUAAGUCUUCUCAAACUUGUCCCCGGAUAGCUGCCCUUCAAAGCAAGACUGAGCACUAGUCUGAAACAGCCAUAAAUGUAAGUAGAGGACAGAGAAGAAAUGGUAUGGUACUCGUUAUUCUUGGUAUCAGCUGCCAAGUCUCUCUUCCCUUCUGCCUCACACUAACAUUUGCCCAACUUGAUAACGAGAGUUAAAAGCCACCAUGCACUAAUCACUUGUCACAUGCCAUACACCAUAUGAAGCAUCCUUGGUAUACUGUAUUUACAAGUGUGUGGAACAUUGUCAUCCUCAGACUUCAGAAGUGAAAAUCAAGAUGCUGAGCAGCAAUCUAACAUGUCCAAAGCCACACAGCGGGUUGAGCCAGAAUUCAGCCUCCAGAUUAUCUGGUCAGAAAAUGUAAUCUUAACUGCUAUUUUUUUUUUAAAAAUCUCCUUUGUAGAAUCCCAAAAAUAUCUCCCACAUCUGGAACAACCUGCCCCCGUAGGAUUAUACCUGUAUUAGCACUGCUUUCCCAGAUGAUGUGGUCCACCCUGUCCUGGUGAUGAGGGAUCUAAAGGGUUCUGGUUGGGUAGUACUGAUGAUUUGCUGUCAGAUCAGUUUGAUUACGGAUCCCAUGAAGGUUUCCAUUCUGGCUCUUUCGACAGCACUUUUGUCUUAAUCUUUUAGAGCAAGCUCUUAUGUUGUUCCUGAAAUCUAGAAAUAUGAUCCACUUCACAUCCUUAUAUCUAAGUGAUUACUGCUAUCCUGUGCUACUGAGUGCUGGACUUUAUCUUAUGUGGACAAUUGGAUAUGUCUGACCACCUGCCCACUCACCCCAUCUGAUCUCAUUGUAACCAGUUUGGCCCCCUCAUAGCCAACCAAAUUUACCUCAAAUGGAGUCCUUGUAACUGGUGAGAAUUUUCUCUCUACUUAUUUUAACAAAUAAUCUUAGAUCAUCCACCAGGUACCAAUCUCAAACUAGGUACUAGAUGUAAGUUGGUGAAAAAAUUAGACACUCAUUACUUUAAAGAGCUCACCUUUGAAUGAGAAAGUCACACAAAGCAUACAUAAUUGCAUUAGUGUAUAAUGUAUACUAUUCUGGAAAUUUCUGAGUUACUCUGCCCCUACAGUCACAACUCCAAGAACUCUGCUUUCCUGUGCUGUUCUUUCCUGGAUGUUUAUCAGUUGUCAGUACAAGUGGAUUACAAAUCCAUACUGUAUCAGUAGAUGCCAUCAGGUGCUAUGCCCAAGCCUAUGGAUAUGUUUCUUUAAUUGUCCUAGAUCUUGUUAUGUGUUCAGGGACAGGAAAGAGAUAAUGUUGACAUAAACAAGGGGAAGGGCCCAAGGAAUGGUUAAGAGAUAGAAAUGGCAGGAUAUAAGGGUAAGAGAGGGGAAAGGAGGCCAGUUGAAGAAAAUGCAGGAGUCAUAACAACUGCAUAGUUCCUGUAGGUAAGGAAGAGAGGGAAGGCUGAGCUGCAGAUUAGAUCAUAAGCUGUAGCCAAUGAGUUUGCUAUUCCAACCACACAAAGUAUCUUUGAUAAGAAACCACCCCUUAUUUAAAUGACAAUAAUUAGCACUGUCUUUAGCAAACUCAUCACUAAAAGCCAUCAAUCCUCAUGGUCAAGUCUCAUGACAGAAUCUGAUCCCCUCGCAGCUGGCGGAGGUUGGAGGGGAAUCCCUGUGAAGGUCUCUGAACACACAUAAUCUGCUCUCUGUUCGAUUCAUAUCUCACUAAUGCUUCCCAGCUCUGUAAGUAUGCGUUGCAAUCUUCUGCCUCCCAGAGGAGAGAAUGGAGAGAGGGAAAUCCGAGAGACUUUUCCACGCUCGAGGAAGAGCCUCAGUCCAUCGGCCUCAAAGGGCCCUGGGCUCUUCUUCCAGUGCACUGUGCUUUCUAGGAAUGUCCACCAAAUUGUCAGCGUUGGAUGGCUGGAGCUGGAUUUCAAAAAAUCCACCCACUGGGAGUCAUGACAAGGAAGUCAGGUACCCCAGGACAAACCAUUCUGUCUUAGGGCUCAGCACAGGUGUUGCCAGGUAGGGAAGGACCGAGUGAUACUUGGGAAGAGCAAGCACUACCAUUCUCUCUUACUCUGUAAACAUUUUCCUUUGAAAAAGUGGACAUUGAAGCCAGGCUCAGAAAGGCCUACAUGCAGAACCUGGCUCCAAUAAGUCAAUUCAAUAUUUUAAUUAAUGAUCACAUUUUACAAUAAAGAAGGAGAUACAGUGCAUCUACCCAUUAAAAUGAGAAGAAGGUUUGUGGAGACUUCAGAGUCCAGAAUUAGUGCUGCAUAAUAAGCAUGCUGCCUUCAACUUCUGCAUCCAUGAAGCCUCAGUGAAAAUGCUUUCUAUCCUUUGGAAAAGUAUUCCAUCUGUGGAAUCAGCUUCUUGAUAAGGCAGUAAUUACUGGAGCAAUUUUAGCAGGUACAAAGGCAUUUUUUAAUAAUCUCAAUUAUUUAAAAGCCAAUUAAUUAUCUAGUCCAUGGAUCAGAGGCCAAAGGGGAUUUUUCUGUAUAAAAAUGGUUACCAUGACAGAGAAAAGGGGGAAUUCAGCUGCCUUCAAAUAGCUGCUUUCUGUGACUUUGUAGUUACAGCUAUUGUGCUUGGUAGAGCUGGUGGAGGUUCAACCACUAGCUUGCACAAAUGGAGUCCUGGAUCCCAGGCCUGGCACCACCACUGACUGCUUCUUCCUAAAGUAAUUAACUUUUACUUAUGGUUCUAUGAAAGCAAAGAAGAGGAUACCAGAGAUAGAUGGUCUCUGAGCCUCUGUCAGAUUUUGACAAUCUAUAGUUCUAUGGGAGCUGUUUUGUUUUAUUUUGCUUUGCUUUGCUUUGUUUUUUGGUACAGCUGUUAAAAAUUUCUCCUCUGGAGAGGAAAAAUAAGGAAAACUGACAAACACUUAAAGGCAGGGAUCAUAUUUGGGUUUGGAAAAACAGUUGAACAACUGCCUAGGGUGGGUUAGCUUGGGGAAAGAAGGCAAGGGGUCAAUGAUACAUGUUUGACAGAUAAAUGUGCUCCUAUAAAUGUGGAUGUGUUUACUUUGGCAGUAGAAAAAGCCUCCCCCAUUCACUGAGCAUUGACUGCAUCUAGGCACUGAGUGAGGUUGGACUUUGCCUCCAAAGGCAUUGCAAGGCAGGCACACCUGGCCCAGAUGGUAGCCCACCAGUGGGUCUAUUUGGGUUAUCAAGUCAGAAUAUCCUGGAAUCUAAGGCUCUGCUUUCUCAUAUGGGCAUGACCAGUCAUGUCUGGAACCCCUUCAACCCACCCUGAAGACCAUCAGAGUUUGUAUGUGCCCUUUGCAGGCACAAUGGCUUUGCCAAGGAGUAACCACUUCCAACACAUGUCCUUCCCACUUGAGAAGUUUUCAAGCAGAAUCAGAAGAGCUUGCAAGUUUAUCAUCUUGCUGGUUCCUCCAGCACCCAUAGUGGGUUCCUUCAUGACUGACUCCUAGAGUAGCAGGACAAUGGGUUCAAACCUCUGCUCUGCACCCCCUGGCUUUUCAACCUGUGGCAAAUCACAUAGCCUCAUUCUGCUUCAGUUACCCUCUGUAUAAAAAUACUAUUGUAGAGAUUAAAAGGAAGUUCCUUGCAAUGAGUCUUUGUACUCCCACCACACAUGGAGAUGGGCUUUCUCUGAGAGGUAAUCAGGUCUUGAGUGUUGAGUCCUUCUGAAUGAGAUUGGUCUCUUUAUAAAAACUGGCCAGAGAACAUGUGUGAAUACAAGGAGAAGUCAAUCAUCUGCAACCAGAAAGAGAACCCUCAUCAGAACUGACCAUGUUGGCACCUGAUCUCAGACUUCAUCCUUCAGAACGGGAAUCUCAUCUUGUCCAUUCCAUCAUCUCAGUCACAGAAUGGUGGUGACAUCAAGCAAGACAUACAGCUUCUUAAGUAUACUUCAUUCUACAAUGUACUUUGAGGCUUCUCUACAUGAAGACACUGACUAGCUUCUUGGAGAUGUGUCCUAUACUGCAUCAGUCGAGACAAGCUACAUCAUGCUGUAAAAAGCAACACCCAAAUUUCAAUGGCUGAGAAUAACAAAACCAUAGGUCCUGUUUAUUCCAUGUGCCUGUUGUGGAAAUACUGGGGUUUCUGCUUCACACUCAGGGAACCAGCUACAGGAGGCUCCAUCUCUGUUCUUCUAGGAUUGCCAAACAGGAAAUGGGGACAUGCAGAACCCCACAAUAGUUCUUAAAUAUUCCAACAUGGGCUAAGAUAAAAGACAAUACAUGCAUACAUGGAAAUGUCACAGUGAAACCCAUUUAUUUGUACAAUUAGCAUGUGUUAACAGUUAAUAAAAAAUUUUUUGAGA